rnacentral:misc_RNA from 1 species
AAGUCGUAACAAGGUAUCCGUAGGUGAACCUGCGGAUGGAUCAUUUUUGGAUGUGUGUUUUUAUAAGUGAUGGGAAUGGUAUUGGAGGAGUGAUGGUGGUAUGUAUGAUAUUGAUGAUGAUUUAUAAAGGAUGAAACAACUUUUAGCAAUGGAUCUCUUGGCUCUC